rnacentral:tRNA from 1 species
GGGACGUUAGCUCAGUUGGUAGAGCAGCGGACUUUUAAUCCGUAGGUCGCGCGUUCGAGUCGCGCACGUCCCA